CGAGAAUGAACGGGCCUGAGGGGGCGAGUGCUUGCCAAACCAGGAACCUGCUCUCGCAGCCUGCGACCUCUGGCGGGCGGAAGGAGCGAGCGCGACUGUGAAUUUAGCCAGGUGGGCUGGGCCGGCUUGCGUCAGACUCCGCCUCCCGAGACCACGCCUCGCCGAGUCCCGGAUGUGCUCCAGGAAGGGAUAGGGUAGGCGCGGAAGUGCUGCUUACUGGGUCCUGAAUCGGCUGCGUGCUGUUCUAGGUGGGGACUUGAGAGACUGUAGAUGGGUCUAGGGAGUGGUCGAAUAUAAAUAAGCUAGAUUUUUUUUUUUUUAAUUGCAAGGGAACUCCCUAGGAAUUCCAUCCAUGGCCUUGUGGAACGAUCUGCCAAAGAAAAAAUAUUUAUCUCGGCAUCUUUCACCCUGAAGUCACGGGAACAACGCUGAGGGGCAGCCAGAGAUUAUGUGGGCUUUUCCAUGGGAAGAACCACUCUACGUUAUCACCUUCUACAUGGUAGCAGUUGAAGCCAAAUGGACAGAAAGCCCGAGACAACAUGAAGUUGUUCUACAAGUUAUUUUGGAGAAAUUGACUUACCAUACCACUCAUCAACCCAUGCAAAAGCCUGUCUAUGUCCAAUCAGCAGAAUGUCUCGGACCACCUAAAAAGUAAAAGAAGGAGACUGAAAUAAUAGCAUCUUUGAUGAAAACUAUCUGGAAGACAAGUUGUUAACAAUUCUGGGGAUCUUGGUGAUUACAGAGUUCUUAAUCCCUCUGUCCAUAGGUGAUGACAAUUACAGGCUGCCUAUAGGUCCUAUAGUGCUCACACACCUCCAGCCCU
rnacentral:lncRNA from 1 species